AUGGUAGUGUAUAUAAUACACACACACACACACACGCACACUGAUAUUUUUAUCAUUAUGGGGACAUUCCAUAGGUAUAAUGGUUUUUCAACUGUAAAAACUGUAUUUUCUAUCCACUUACUAACUCUACACAAGCCUACCCCUCACACAAAACGACAGGCAUUUUUAGAUUUUCACUUCAUUCUGUGUAAUUUAUAAGCUCAUUUCCUUAUGGGGACCUAAAUAAAUGUCCCCACAAGGUCAAAAUUUACUGGUAUUACUAUAAUGUAGAGAACACCAGUACACACACACACACACACACUCACACACACUGUCUCUCUCUCUGUCUCUCUCCCUCCCUCCCUCAGGAAAAAAAGGUACAAAAGCUGUCACUGGGAAGGUAUCACUGGGAUCUGUUCAAAGGGUACAUAAAGGGUCCAUAUUUGUACCUUAAAAGCACACAUCAGUACCUAAGUGUACGUAUCAAUACUUAUGUAUGAAAACAUACUUUUUGGGAAGGUACUGACCCAGUUACAGCUUUUGUGCCUUUUUUUUUUCUGUGUGCGCAAACACACACACACACACACACACACAGAAGAUCAAUGUAAAAUACAGUAUUGUGUGCUAGCAGCUUAUAGCAUGGCUCACAACUUUUUUCAAAAGGGCAGCUCGACUGUAGUUUAACUAGACUUUAAAUUAUUAGUUGCCUGUAUCUUUACAAGCUACAGUUUCAAAGCAGCCUCCCCAUCACUGUUCAUAUUGCAUCAGAGCCUUUCUUAAACCACAGAACAUUCCCUUUAGAUCUCAGGAUGGUUGCAUUGAAUGUAAGGUUGAAAAACCGAUUUCAAGUGCUCUCCUCUGAAUAUACAGUUUGAAUUUAUUUAAUGUGGGUGGCUGCCCUGUUGUGUUCAAUGUUUACUCAGUAUCUUUGUUAUUUUAAAUAUAUAUUUUUUAUUCUUUAACCAUGAAGACAGGGCUUGCUGGUGGAGCUGAUAGUGGUGGGAGGCAGCAAGUGGCUGACAUCUGUUUCAUUCAGAUUGUGGGACUCUCAGGAGUGCGCUUUUAAAAAACUCAUUCAUAGACAAUAGAA
ensembl:lncRNA